GAUGAAGAACGUAGCGAAAUGCGAUAAGUAAUGUGAAUUGCAGAAUUCAGUGAAUCAUCGAAUCUUUGAACGCACAUUGCGCCCCCCAGUAUUCUGGCGGGCAUGCCUGUUCGAGCGUCAUUUCAACCAUCAAGCCCUGCUUGUGUUGGGGUCCUGCGGCUGCCCGCAGGCCCUGAAAACCAGUGGCGGGCUCGCUAGUCACACCGAGCGCAGUAGCACAUCUCGCUCAGGGCGUGCGGCGGGCUCCAGCCGUUAAAGCACCCACCUUUCGCAAGGUUGACCUCGGAUCAGGUAGGAAUACCCGCUGAUCUUAAGCAUAUCAAUAAGCGGAGGA
rnacentral:misc_RNA from 1 species